rnacentral:rRNA from 1 species
AGUGAACGCUGGCGGUAGGCCUAACACAUGCAAGUCGAACGGCAGCACAGUAAGAGCUUGCUCUUACGGGUGGCGAGUGGCGGACGGGUGAGGAAUACAUCGGAAUCUACUUUUUCGUGGGGGAUAACGUAGGGAAACUUACGCUAAUACCGCAUACGACCUACGGGUGAAAGCAGGGGAUCUUCGGACCCUGCGCGAUUGAAUGAGCCGAUGUCGGAUUAGCUAGUUGGCGGGGUAAAGGCCCACCAAGGCGACGAUCCGUAGCUGGUCUGAGAGGAUGAUCAGCCACACUGGAACUGAGACACGGUCCAGACUCCUACGGGAGGCAGCAGUGGGGAAUAUUGGACAAUGGGCGCAAGCCUGAUCCAGCCAUACCGCGUGGGUGAAGAAGGCCUUCGGGUUGUAAAGCCCUUUUGUUGGGAAAGAAAAGCAGCAGGUUAAUACCCCGCUGUUCUGACGGUACCCAAGGAAUAAGCACCGGCUAACUUCGUG